GAUGAACGCUGGCGGCGUGCCUAAUACAUGCAAGUCGAGCGAACGGACGAGAAGCUUGCUUCUCUGAUGUUAGCGGCGGACGGGUGAGUAACACGUGGAUAACCUACCUAUAAGACUGGGAUAACUUCGGGAAAUCGGAGCUAAUACCGGAUAAUAUUUUGAACCGCAUGGUUCAAAAGUGAAAGACGGUCUUGCUGUCACUUAUAGAUGGAUCCGCGCUGCAUUAGCUAGUUGGUAAGGUAACGGCUUACCAAGGCAACGAUGCAUAGCCGACCUGAGAGGCGGAUCGGCCACACUGGAACUGAGACACGGUCCAUACUCCUACGGGAGGCAGCAGUAGGGAAUCUUCCGCAAUGGGCGAAAGCCUGACGGAGCAACGCCGCGUGAGUGAUGAAGGUCUUCGGAUCGUAAAACUCUGUUAUUAGGGAAGAACAUAUGUGUAAGUAACUGUGCACAUCUUGACGGUACCUAAUCAGAAAGCCACGGCUAACUACGUG
rnacentral:rRNA from 1 species